rnacentral:rRNA from 1 species
UACGUAGGGUGCAAGCGUUGUCCGGAAUUAUUGGGCGUAAAGAGCUCGUAGGCGGUCUGUCGCGUCUGCUGUGAAAACUCAGGGCUUAACCCUGAGCUUGCAGUGGGUACGGGCAGACUAGAGUGCGGUAGGGGAGACUGGAAUUCCUGGUGUAGCGGUGAAAUGCGCAGAUAUCAGGAGGAACACCGGUGGCGAAGGCGGCAUCCUGGACCAUAACUGACGCUGAGGCGCGAAAGCUAGGGGAGCAAACGGG